rnacentral:rRNA from 1 species
UACGUAGGGACCAAGCGUUGUUCGGAUUUACUGGGCGUAAAGGGCUCGUAGGCGGCCAACUAAGUCACACGUGAAAUCCCCAGGCUUAACCUGGGAACUGCGUGUGAUACUGGAUGGCUUGAAUUCGGGAGAGGGAUGCAGAAUUCCAGGUGUAGCGGUGAAAUGCGUAGAUAUCUGGAGGAAUACCGGUGGCGAAGGCGGCAUCCUGGACCGACAUUGACGCUGAUGAGCGAAAGCUAGGGGAGCAAACGGG